UACGUAGGUGACAAGCGUUGUCCGGAUUUACUGGGCGUAAAGAGCGUGUAGGCGGCCAAACAGGUCCGUUGUGAAAAACUCGAGGCUCAACCUCGAGAUGUCGGCGGAAACCGUCUGGCUAGAGUCCGGAAGAGGAAAGUGGAAUUCCUGGUGUAGCGGUGAAAUGCGCAGAUAUCAGGAAGAACACCCGUGGCGAAGGCGGCUUUCUGGGACGGUAUUGACGCUGAGACGCGAAAGCGUGGGGAGCAAACAGG
rnacentral:rRNA from 1 species